AUGCGUCUAGGCGGGGAGCCAGCGGUGCCCUGUACCCGAAAUCCGCUCGAUGCGGGGCCGAAAGCCCGGCCGAGGGUUCGGCUCUCCGGGAGAUGAGAGCGUGUGGAACGUGUCGAAGGCCGGUCCCCGCGCAACGAAGGGCCGUGAACCGGGUCAGGCCUUGACCGGAGCAGCCCUAAGCGCGCUGACUUCGUGUGCCGCGGAUCGGCCGGCCGGAGCGGAAAGCCGUUACUUGCCCGGGAAGUCGUUCUCGACGCCGGGGACGCAU
rnacentral:SRP_RNA from 1 species